CCACCCACCGCCCCCGGCGCAUCCCAUCCCUUUUCCCCAUUCGCAUCCAGCACCCACCAGCGAGAGGUAGUAGCAACAGCAAGCCCUGCUUCUUCUUAUCCUCAUCGCAGCUGUUUCUCCUCCUCUGCUCUCCAUCCACCUCACGUCACCACCCAGCUCUCCUCUUCCUAUCUACUCCAGCAAACCCACAAACGGCUGGCUGGCCUUGGCGUUGCCGAUGACUGCACUCCCCUGGAGUGCGCUCGGCCGUGAGACCAGAGGACGCGUGCGCGCGGCCGUCAGACCAGAGGAGGCCAUGGGAGCUCCCCUGUGCCGUGGUCCCGAUCUUGCCGCGAACUCACCGCCCCUUGCUCCGGAUUCGGGCGAUCCCGCGCCGCUCAUCCUCGCGUUGACCGUGAGAGGAGGAGGCCAGCGUCUCGUCCAGCAGCGGCCCACCAGAGUCGCCCCGGCCUACUACGCCACAGCCAGCCUAGCACGCGAGGCUCUUGCCGGCUAGAUCGAGGGGAUCCUUCCUUCUUUGCCGAUGUGAAGCCAGCCGCUGACACGCCGUUGCAGAUCACUAGAUCUGGAGUGCCCCCGCUGCAUCCUGUCCACGUCACACCUGCGGUCAACGACCGCCGUCGGAACCCUCCUCCCUCCCUCCCUCCUCGAGGACUCCGGUUCUCUUCGUUGCCUUCCCAUCAUGAUGGGUUAUUUCUUCUCUUUUUUUUGCCUUUGAUUCUCAUGUCUGGUGAGAAUCUGCCCGCGGAUCCCUCUUUGUUUGCAUGUGUGAUGGCUGGGCUGAAACUCUGUUGAGGUGACCGCGGGUUGAAUACCAAAAAAUAUAGGGUCUUUUUUGUAAAACCGAAGCAUUUUCUCAGAUAACCACUUAAAAGGGGAGUGCGGGUUAAUUUCUUAUAAACCGAGGGACUUCUAUGCAAAAUUGCUAGCGACGACGGACGACCAGAAA